GGGAAUGUGGCUCAGUGGUACAGAGUGCUUGCCUUGCAUGCAUGAGGCCCUGAGUUCGUUUCCUCAGCACCA
rfam:Dipodomys ordii contig_14458, whole genome shotgun sequence.